GAGGGAGACGUUUCAUUUCCAGAGAUGAUUGAUGGAUAAUGUGUCUUGUCCUUACUUCACAUCAUACAUACGUAUAAACACAGAGAGAGAGAGAGCAGGAGCAGCCUAUCAGAGUGAGGAGGAAACAUCAUCAUUCAGAGCUUUUGUUCGGACUAAUUACAGUUUUAUGUUUGUCAGAGUUUUACAGGAUGAAAUCUAAAGCAGUGACUGUUUUCAGUAACGCUUCUUUUUACCACAUGAGGAAAAUCCCUGAGUCUACCUGAGCACAGCUGACCCAGGAGCAACAACAACAACAACAACAACAACAACAUGACUCCACAGCCAAAGACCAAGCAGGAAAAAAACUAGAGUCUUACUGUAACAGAGUCCAGGGAGAAAAUCCAGAUCUCCGACAGAGCUGAGAGAAAUCCACAGGACCACAUGGGAAGGUGACAAACAGGUGAGACUAGGCCCAGGUGAGGACAAGGAGGCCACACAAUCAAAAAGGAGGGAAAACACAGGAAGUAAAGCCAAACCAGACACAGUGGGAGAGGAUCCUACAAAAUAAAACAGGAAAUACCAAACAUAAGAAGUAAUGCUGUGUGAAAAGCUCCUUCAUGGUGGGUUUGGUUUGACGAUUAAAGUGUAAAUUAGAAUAAUUCAUGUAUAAAUCACAUACGCCUUAUUUUAAUACUAUAAAAAAAAAAAACAAAGAGUUGUCCUGGGUAAGUUUGAGUGCUUUACAGGAGAGCUGAGUGUGCUUCUGGCCUCUCUCCAACAGAAAUCACCUCUCUGACUCUGACACCUGAGACCACCAGAGUUUAUCAGAGGAGCAGAAACAGGCUCUUCCUUUUGGAGAUGUUUAAAGCCCAGUAAGCAGAGAUCCGGCUGUGUGUUUCCUUUAGGAUCUCUGUGUACCGGCAGGUCGUGGUUUGAGGGUUUAACGGAAAAGUCCUGUUUAUGUGUGUGAGUAUCAGAGACAUGGGGAAUGCUAAUAAUCUGGAUAUUUAUUCUAUUUUCUGAUAUACGAGAUUGCCCGGCUCCGAGUAGGAAUGCAGCUCCAGAGGAAAGAUUAGGAUCCAUCUAUUUUAAACUUCCCUCUGGUCUCCUCGUUCGCCAGAAAGCAAAGAAGAAAAAUGAAGACCAAAAUAGAGAUGGCAUGAGAAGAAAAAAAGGGCUAGCAGAGGGAAAAGCAAAAAAAAAAGGGUUAAAAGUAGAAUAAGUCAAAGGAGAAGGAAAAAAGAGAUCCAUCCCAGUCCUCUAGAGUCCAGGUCUACAGCGCUGACAUGCUCCCUGCUCUGAUGCAUCCUCCCACCCCGGGUCGUGCCCUUCGGAGGCUCGCCAGCGCUGGUUUAGCAUGACAAUGUGAUAUAUGUGCAGGCGGUAUGGGAAGUCAGCAUUAGCUCUGACUUUCCCCUCUGUGCAUGGAGGGAAAUGACCUCUGACCUCUGCGCCACCACAGAGACUAUAGGACGAGCCGAGUGUCCAUUAAUUGUCAUCAUAAAGUUGAACUCUGGUGUCAGGUUUUCCCCGCGCUGGUCUGCAUCCUCACAGCCGUGAUUAUACCCAACACUUAAACUCCGCUGGAUCGCUGGCGUUCCCACGUGAAACCAUGAAUGUUGUUUACAGUUUCUCAGGAACUAUAGCGUGUAUCUCUACGGGAUGAAAAGCGCUCAAAAGUUUACCCUUUUGGCGAUCUAUCGAGGGUUUCCAGACAUUUCUACACCCAGCCACAAAAAUCCACAGUGAUAUACCACUGAAAACAUAAAACAUGAUUAUUUAUCAAAUUGUUGUGAUAAAAAACAACCAGUUACAUGGUCUCAUAUUUUUCUUCUGUUGUUCCCUUGACGGUAGUGUCCAAUAAGAGGCAACCAAAGAUCAACAAGAGACAAGAAAGUUCCCUGUUUGUCUGCAAAAUACGAAAUAAUGGUCUUUUUUUGGUUGACUUUGAUGGUUCUGAAUCUACUGUCACAUUCAUUUUACAUAAUUUUUGCUUCACCGGUGUGAAGAAGGCCUUGCUUUGUUUAUGGUGGGGGGUCUGCCAGUCGUGUCCCCUGAGGUCCCCGGCUGGCACGGCGAGCUGAAUCAGCUUGUGGUGGAAAAUUCUUGUACUAAACUCCCCCUGCCGCCCCGUUGGACACCUCACACCAGAUCUGGGAAUGAAAUUCACACCUGAACCUUUCUGGAUUCUCAAUUUAACGUACACAAGCCUAUAAAUUUGAGUCCGAAUGCUACUGUGGAUUGUGGUUUGGCCUGAACAUGGUACUGGACCUAUGUGGACUGUGAGAACCGUUAAACCUCACCAUCAAUAACUGGUGGAGCCGCAUUAAGAAGAAUAAUGCAGCUGGUUGAUUUCCAAUUUAACCUCAGGGUCUACAAACCGAAGAGUGGAGGAGGAGGAGUGCGAGGAUAAUGUAUAUGAAGGGGGUUAAAUCCAGCUGUGUUUCCCUUGAACGCUGACUCUGCUGACCCCCUGAGAGUGGGUCAGAUGGAAAGCGAGAGAGUACAGUCUUCCCCCUCCACCCCCAUCAGCCCCAUGAGGGAAAUGAUGAACAGAGGGUUGGACAAAGCCAGCACUCAGCUUUAAUUGGACGGAAGGUGGCUGUACACUCAUACCAUAAAUAACUGGACCCGGGGAAAGUGUGUGUGUGUGUGUGUGUGUGUGUGUGUGUGGCUGAGUCUGGGAUCUGGCGAGGGGGGUUAACCAUCACGCAGUGAGCUUAAGCACCGCUGAGCUGAGAGAGGCUGUCAGGGACCUGGUGUAAAUAUCCUGCAGGCUAACUGAUUUGUCUACGGUCAUAAACACGACAUAAAGAGCUAAUAUACAGGUCAGCACCGGCCUGAUUUACACCCCCAAACGGCCCAAAACUUCAUCAAAGCAUUUCAUCUCCCUACUCUACACUUCCACGAGACUUUUUACAAGUUUUGGUUGAACUGGAGCCUCAGAAAUAGUCUGAACCUAAUCUAAUCAAAGUUUUGGUUGCAUUUGGUAGAUCAUCACGUAAAAGUAUUCGCUGAUUAACUCUCGAGAUUUGGAGACAAUUAAGAUUAAGAUCUACAAGAUAGAAAGUCUUUAAUUUGUUUGCAGGCUUGGGCUCUGAAUCAAUCAGGCUGAGGCUCAGAGACAGAUGCAUCUGCCGUCGUCUGAGCUGCUUUCAAUUCCUCCGGGAGACAGAGGGGCUCUCUUAGUUAGACGAGCUCACUGAUAAAAACAUCGAAGAAAGCCUCUCCAGUUUGAAGUUUGAUGAUUAAAAUAACUCGCUCCAUUAAGUGAUCAGGAUGUCCAAAUUUGGGCGGCGAAGCAAACCUUGAAUGAUGGGAAUUUUGAGUGGCUGUCUGAUAUUUUGUGAGUUCUUCCUGGUAGGCACUAAUGGCGUGUGGCCUGACUGCUUCUGUAGGGACUAUCAGAGAGUUCCCGCAAAGCAAGGUGAAGGAGAGGCUGUCUUUGUGUGCCGUCAUUUGAAAUCUGGCCAGCAAAGAAAUAUGAAAGACAGAAAAAAUCUGUGAUGGAGCUCCUGAGCCUCUUGAAAUCCAACCGCUCGUGUUAGGAAUAUUGCGCCUUUAUUCACUGGCAUUUUCAAAGUAAAAUAUUGACACAGACUUUUGGGGCGCUGUUGUCCUACCUUUAAAGUUUGACGCAUAGUUGAGUGAGAAGGAGGCAGAACUUUCGUGUCAACGCUCCAGUAGGAAAUAAACUAUAAAUGAGCUUCAUAUGAGGGAGGAUAUGCAAACCAGAAGGUCCUGAAAAGUCUGAACAGAUGUCGAAAUCAAUCAAACUACGUUCCUGACCGAUAUCUCUAUGUUUCUACAAAAGGCUAAAUCAAAUGGUUGUGCAGUUUUAAAGGUUGAAUAUCAUCGAAAGCGUGUUUUUCCUUCCCAUACAUAUACAGUUAGGGUGACCAUAUUCUGAAUCCCCAAAAAGAGGACACUCCGGGGUGGAGUCGCAGAGUUGCGCGCAGUAAAUUUUGAGGGUUUUUCAGGUUGGAUCGAGUGUUUUUUUACGCGCUUCUUACUCAGUUAGUCCACACAACACAAACUCAAAACUUCCAAACAAAACCCCGGACAUUUGAAGGAUUUUAUAAACUCCA